rnacentral:rRNA from 1 species
UGGUGGAGUGAUUUGUCUGGUUAAUUCCGUUAACGAACGAGACCUUAGCCUACUAAAUAGAUGCGCCGAUUUCGAUCUGCGCUAUCUUCUUAGAGGGACUUUGUGUGAAGCACAAGGAAGUUUGAGGCAAUAACA